rnacentral:lncRNA from 8 species
UCAUAAACAUUCUUCACCAUGGAGUUCAGUUUAUACCCUACGCAUGCAGCUUUUGCCUUCCGGGCUGAACUGCUAAAUUUCCAUCCACGCUAAACAUUGUGUAUGUGGUAUUGCAACAUGCUGCAUAUGACUUCCAAACUUCCUAGAGCCUACCGGUUCCUGACCAUUUUGAGGUUGCAAUCCUUUUGGCAACAUCGAAAUGGAAGGUGACCAGAUUUCCCAUAGCCUCAAGUUUUAGUCUGCAUUUUCAAACGAGAGAAACAUGCACUGCAAAAGGUGCUCAUAGUUAGGCUACUCAUGCGUCCAGAUCCUUUCUAGGUAUUAGAAAGGACCCUUUGAUUUGCUGACCACCAACCUUUAAAAAUACAUUGUAACUUUAGAAAUGACACAACGAGGAGAAACCAAGGGCAAUGCAAACUCCAAAUCACUGGGUUGAUUUGCAACAAUAUAGUGUUCGCUUAGGGAACAAAGUUGCAUUUAGGAGGACUCACACACCGAAAUACUGUUGCUGAAGUGAAAAUGUAUCUUAUAUCAAAGUAAAAUGCACUCGCUUGUCCGUUUUUCCUGUCGAAACGUUGCGCGUUCUAGCUGAACCUCCCCCUUGUAGCGUUUGGUACCGUCCAAUGCUCUUUUUGGUCACUCCAGCAUCGGAUCUAGAGCACAGCACAACAUGUUGAAGACCGUAUGUGCCUGGUCACAGAACAAAACUUUAACUUUGGCUCGUCGGAUCAGAUGGGACUAAAGACCAACAUACAGCCAUGCUAUGGAUAUAGUUAUGAGUCCAGUCUUUGUUGAUUUGAAGGUUAUUCUUUGAUAUUGCGAUAAUAACGAAAUAUUUGCAGCAAAUAAGAGAGAAAAAGACAGACCGAGAAAGCGAUCAAAGAUGCAGGUCUCUGUGGUGCUGUGUAGCAUGAUAACUUUCUUUCUUCGCAGUCAAGCUACUUUUCCAAAAAUAUCUCUGAAAGGCCUCAUUCGGAAAGGAAAAGGAACAACAAGCACAUUGAAAGAAAGUGAGUUUAUUACCCUCCCCUCCUUCUUCCUCUCUCUUUCUGCCUCUCCUGCUCUACCUAGUGCCUGCUCCUAACCUUGUUUUACCACACCGUUGCUAAGACACAUCAAUCGCCGUGUCACAAGUUCUUUUGCUCUAAUGCCGUGUCAUGAAAGCCUGCCUCUUUCAUCUCUAAAGGGUUCUGGCACCCCCUCACCCUUACCUGCCUGGAAACUCUAACUGGGGUAGGGGUAGUAGAGAGCGAGGGAGGGAUGGAUGGUGGGGGGGUCCUCUCUGAUCCCUCUUUAAUAAAAGUCUGGAAUAUUCCGUUAGUGGCGUUCCAUCUUUUUAUUUAUUUUUAAAAAAAUUGGGGGGAGCACUUCUCUUCUUCCUUAACAUGUUCUCUCCGAAGCAGGACAGUUUGUAACGCUUUCUGUGUCUCUUUUCUUCCUUCUGCACACCCUUCUCCAUUUUUCUCUCUCUUUCUGUCUCUCUUUCGCCCUCUUCCUCUCACUCUUUGUUAUUUCUGGUCUCCCCCUCUCUUACUCUUCUUUUUAACCUCUCUAGGGUAUGUGGGACGAAAUCGUCCCACCUACUCAACAGCCAGUGGAAUCCCGUGGCGCGAUAUUCAAAUACCUUAGAAAUGCCAUUACUUCAAUUUCUCAAACAUAUGACUAUUUUACACCAUUUUAAAGACAAGACUCUCGUUAACCUCUAUGGGCUAGGUGGGACGCUAGCGUGCCACCCGUGGUGCACUCCAUCAACAGCAGGUACAUUUCAAGAGCGGCAAAUUUGAAUCCAAAUAAAUGUCAAAAUUCAAAUUUUUCAAACAUACAACUAUUUUACACCCUUUGAAAGAUAAACAUCUCCUUAAUCUAACCACGUUUUACGAUUUCAAAAAGGUUUUACGGCGAAAGCAUAAAUUUAGAGUAUGUUAGGACAGUACAUUUACAAGAGUUGUGUGUAAUGUUUUGUCAAUUCAAAGACAGGGUCACCAAAACCAUAAAACCAGCUAAAAUGAUGCACUAACCUUUUACAAUCUCCAUCAGAUGACACUCCUAGGACAUUAUGUUAGACAAUGCAUGCAUUUUUAGUUCUAUCAAGUUCAUAUUUAUAUCCAAAAACAGCGUUUUACUAUGGCAUUGAUGUUGAGGAAAUCGUUUCCCUCCAAUAACCGGCAGUCAAGUCAGCACCACUAAUUAAAUAAUUAAAAUUAGAAAACAUUGGUAAAAUAUUAUAUUGUCAUUUAAAGAAUUAUAGAUUUACAUCUCUUGAACGCAAUCAACUUGCCAGAUUUAAAAAUAACCUUACUGGGAAAUCACACUUUGCAAUAAUCUGAGCACUGCGCCCAGAAAAAUACGCGUUGCGAUACAGACUAGACGUCAUGUUGGGGAGAUCUAAAAUCGAAAAUACUAUGUAAAUAAUCCAUUACCUUUGAUUCUCUUCAUCAGAUGUCACUUCCAGGUAUCACAGGUCCAUAACGAAUGUAGUUUUGUUCAAAAAAGCUCAUCAUUUAUGUCCAAAAAUCUCCGUCUUGUUAGCACAUGAUCUAAGCCAGCCGGACUUCUCGUCAUGAACGAGGGGAAAAAAUAUAUUUACGUUCGUUCAAACAUGUCAAACGUUGUAU